GCCAGAAGCACCUCUGGCUCCCUUGCCACAUCCCUCAACUUGGCAUAUCUUGGAAUUACUACUACGAUUAAACCGUGCUUGCUGCUGUUGUGUUAUCCCGGAAGUACAGGUGACUGAGCUUUUUGGCAUGGUUAAAAAGCUCGAGGAAAGGUCUGGAACAUUGGCAGGUGGAAUCACUAUCUCAGAAACUGGGGGAAAAAUGUAGCCAACCUGAGGAUUCGACGAGGUAGGCAUGACUGGCUGUGAUGUUCUUGGCUUCCAACAACAAGAUGUUUCUCCAUCAUCUAUGUUCAAGGUAUCAGCAAAUGUCAAUGGCUUCUCCAUUGACAACUGAAGUGGGGGAAAACCCUGAUGAAUUGAAGUGACAUCAGAUUCAGAUGGCCCAGUUGAGAGACUUAACUCCAAGUCAACCUUGGGUUUAACUUUUUGUACUUUAAGUGACUUACUGGCAGGUUCUUUAGGACUAGCAACCUUAUCACUGCCAAGAUUGAGAGAAAAAUCCAGGUCAAGUGCCAUUGAGGAUUCCUCAUCAGUUUCUUUAGCAGAAGACACUCUGGUGCAUGCAGUUGCUGAACUCCCCUUACUGUCAGAGGAACUUGAGGAAUGAACAAACCCAAGAGACAAAGAAGACCCAACUGACUGACCACCCAUGGAUUUCUCAACCAAACUCCACUUCCGUUUCAUUCCCAUUGAUGUGGACCCACAGGGGACUGAAGAUCCAGU
rnacentral:misc_RNA from 1 species